UCGGUUGUGCUUUCUCUCGCUCUUCAAACAAGAGUGCUGCUUUUUCCAUGCUGUAUGGAUCACUGAAGGGGAGAGACGUGUAUCCCAAAAAACAUUAAUUGUGCUCUGUGUAUUUCUGCAGACCUGCUUCUUCAGAAUAAACCUUCCUGAGACCUGCUCCACCUGUAUUGUCAUCUUUGAGAGCAACAAAACACAACCAGAGUAAAACUGCUA